rnacentral:rRNA from 1 species
GAUGAACGCUGGCGGCGUGCCUAAUACAUGCAAGUCGAGCGAACAGACGAGGAGCUUGCUCCUCUGACGUUAGCGGCGGACGGGUGAGUAACACGUGGAUAACCUACCUAUAAGACUGGGAUAACUUCGGGAAACCGGAGCUAAUACCGGAUAAUAUAUUGAACCGCAUGGUUCAAUAGUGAAAGACGGUUUUGCUGUCACUUAUAGAUGGAUCCGCGCCGCAUUAGCUAGUUGGUAAGGUAACGGCUUACCAAGGCAACGAUGCGUAGCCGACCUGAGAGGGUGAUCGGCCACACUGGAACUGAGACACGGUCCAGACUACUACGGGAGGCAGCAGUAGGGAAUCUUACACAAUGAGAGAAAGCCUGACGGAGCAAAGCCGCGUGAGUGAUGAAGGUCUUCGGAUCGUAAAACUCUGUUAUUAGGGAAGAACAAAUGUGUAAGUAACUAUGCACGUCUUGACGGUACCUAAUCAGAAAGCCACGGCUAACUACGUG